rnacentral:rRNA from 1 species
AACGAACGCUGGCGGCAGGCCUAACACAUGCAAGUCGAACGCCCUAGCAAUAGGGAGUGGCAGACGGGUGAGUAACGCGUGGGAAUAUCCCCCUCAGUACGGAAUAGCCCAGGGAAACUUGGAGUAAUACCGUAUACGUCCGUGAGGAGAAAGAUUUAUCGCUGAGGGAUUAGCCCGCGUAGGAUUAGCUAGUUGGUGAGGUAACGGCUCACCGAGGCGACGAUCCUUAGCUGGUCUGAGAGGACGAUCAGCCACACUGGGCCUGAGCCAAGGCCCAGACUCCUACGGGAGGUGGCAGUGGGGAAUAUUGGCCAAUGGGCGCAAGCCUGAUCCAGCCAUGCCGCGUGAGUGACGAAGGCCUGAGGGUUGUAACGCUCUUUUGGCGGGGACGAUAAUGACGGUACCCGCAGAAUAAGCCCCGGCUAACUUCGUGCCAGCAGCCGCGGUAAUAC